rnacentral:rRNA from 1 species
UACAGAGGGUGCAAGCGUUAAUCGGAAUUACUGGGCGUAAAGGGUGCGCAGGCGGUUCUGCAAGUCAGGCGUGAAAGCCCCGGGCUUAACCUGGGAAUGGCGCUUGAAACUACAGGACUGGAGUAUGGCAGAGGGAGGUGGAAUUCCACGUGUAGCGGUGAAAUGCGUAGAGAUGUGGAGGAACACCGAUGGCGAAGGCAGCCUCCUGGGCCAAUACUGACGCUCAUGCACGAAAGCGUGGGGAGCAAACAGG